AAUGAACGCUGGCGGCGUGCCUAACACAUGCAAGUCGUACGAGAAAGGGGCUUCGGCCCUGAGUAGAGUGGCGCACGGGUGAGUAACGCGUGGGUAAUCUACCCUUGGAUUUGGGAUAACUCUGCGAAAGUGGAGCUAAUACCGGAGAGUCUGGCUUUAAUUGAUAAGUCGGUAAAGGAUGCCUCUGCAUAUGCAUUCGUCCGAGGAUGAGCCCGCGUCUCAUUAGCUAGUUGGUAGGGUAAUGGCCUACCAAGGCAACGAUGAGUAGCUGGUCUGAGAGGAUGAUCAGCCACACUGGAACUGAAACACGGUCCAGACUCCUACGGGAGGCAGCAGUGGGGAAUAUUGCGCAAUGGGCGAAAGCCUGACGCAGCAACGCCGUGUGAGGGAUGAAGGCUUUCGGGUCGUAAACCUCUGUCGGAAGGGAAGAACGGGCAUUGGUCUAAUAGGCCUUUGUUUUGACGGUACCUUUAGAGGAAGCACCGGCUAACUCCGUGCCAGCCGCCGCAGUAACAC
rnacentral:rRNA from 1 species